AAAUCUCUAUCUUUUCUCAAAUGCCACAUUUUCAGCACUUCUUCCAGCCGAGUCCCUACUUUAGCUGCCUUAAAAGCUCCAAACAGCGAAGGAGGACAUGAAUCAGAAAGGAAAGAAAUGGCCCUUCUUCCCACCCUCCUGUUCUUCCUCUCCUUCAUCCCAUCCCCAGGGGCAUUUCUGAGUUGCUGUCCAAAGAUGGAAAAAAUAAUCAAUUCCUCAGGCUUCCAAAUGAUGCCCUUUGAACAGUAAUAAUAGUUACUAGAGUGAAAAAAGUCUACAAAACAGUGUCUCAGAUGGUAAAGAAUUUUAACUGAUGGAAUUUUGAAGCCUUUAUAGUUGUGAAAAUGAGACAUGGGUAUGUGAGGAGGGAAAUAAAUUUAAUCAUCCGGUGCUGAGAGAAGGGGAUGGAAGAUCUUGAGUUCAUACGAAAUAGGAAUAAGCACAAAGAGUGGAUGGUGAGAACAAAUGAAACUAGAGGAGAUCCUACAACCAAUACAUGAAGGUCUCUGUAACAAAGACAAGUCAGGUACAACACUUAUUAUGCAGAUUGUUAGUUGAUGAACAGAUAAAAGGUUGCAGGGCAGUACUGUCGCAAGGUGGCUAAUACAUGGAGCAUAAGGAACAGCAGCAAAAUGGGCCAGUAUUGAUGUGUCUAUCAAUUAGAUUGUGUGAUGUUUAUUGUCACUCUAGCAAACUGCAAUUAAGGGACCCCACCAUAACCAGAUGGUACUAAGAAGCCUUGAGGUUCAUUGAAGGUGGCAAGCAGCUUGAAGCUUGAAAGGUGCUUCACUUGCGAGCUUAAUUAGAAGCGACAUUGCAGCAAGCAGGCAGAGUAACAUGCUGUGAUAGUAGAGGAUAGUCUCACCCUAAUUCCUGUUGGGCACUCUUUUGCAAGAGGACCCCACCUUAACUGCCUCCAUGUUUUGUUGUGUAUGGAUCUUGAUAGAGGUCAAGAAUCUACCAAUAGCUCAAAUGCACUAAUGACAGACAACCUGUAGGAAUUUCUGUAUGGCAUUUCUCGAUUCCCCUACCUAGCCUGGUAGAAGAAGAGAGGCUAUGGCAGGUGAGCUGUUACUGGACCAUCAGAUUGAAUGCAAGACAAUGUUUCCAGAAGUAUUUGCAGUACAAGGAACAAUGGGCCGAACUACCAAGAGAACAUGACGCAACAAUCUCAAACCUUCAAGCUGAGCGUUCAUGACAGGGGUGAUGAAGGUUGACACUUGCUUAUAUCCCAUGGAAUUGAGCACAUGGUUUUUGUUUAUAUAUUAUGAUUAAAUGGAGGGAUAGAAGUUGAUGGACAACCUUAGCUGCCAUAGAGAAUCUUCCAGGUUUCCCUGGUCUUGUUUCAAUACAAAGGAAUGGCAACUGUUUUGUUGCAGCAACGAUCUUUAUGCAGCUUAAUAUGAGGUGUCAAGUACGUAGACAACAAAGGUGGUGGUUUCAAACCUACUAUUAUUUUCAAGGGCCAUUCAACCUGGAUUUUAGCUGACCCCACCAGAUAUUUCUUUGGCCACCCCUAGGUUGGCUGACCAUAUAAAAGACAACCACAUGGCUGAAGCUCCCUAAAGCCUGUCUCAGAUGUUCUCCACCAGGUUCGGUCGGAAAUGGCGCCGGAUGAGAGGCUUCCGGCUGCAUGCUUGCCGGUUUUAUCUUAUCCGGCUUCGAAUCAGGCUCUUUAGAUUCCUUGGUUUCUUCAUUCAUGGUCUGGAAACCAUGAAGAGAGGUGGGAAGAGCAGCAGUAGACGGCAGUUUGAAAGGCAAAGAACCUGCAGCAGAAGAGCUCUGAUUUUUGACGGAUGUCAAGCAAGCCAACUAGACUAUAAUAUACAAUCAUUCUAUGCAGAAGCCAUAGCAGAUUGCUUGGAGUUCAUCAAGAGAUCAUCUAUGUCAGUUGAUGAUGGUUCAGACCCCAAACAAGAAGAUGUUCCCAUUGUUAACAAUGGCAGUCAGAGAGGGAUGCUUGUAAUAUGAUUGUUAUAAUGGUCGUCUUUUUGUUGCAUGAGCUCUCAGUGAGCCCUGUAGUCUAUUUCCUCUUCUGUUCCUUGAUAUGUGAGCUCAUUAGAAUCGCGAAUCCUUUUUGAACACCACCGAUUUAGUUUUUACUUGUUCAUUAGCUGAAAUGUAAUUUUGAAUUGCUAUGGUCUUGGUAAGUUGUU